ACCUCCACCUUAACCUAAUUUUUUUUUUCUUGAUCUACCAAGGAGGGGUGGUUUUAUGGUCAAUUUUUGACCCAAAAUCACCCCUCAUAAUUGUUUUUCCUUUUCUUUUUAUUUAAAUAAGUGAUCUUCACAUUGAUCAAGUUUUUCUUUUGUGUUUUCUUUUUUGUGAUUUCACCAUCUGAGUGCGGCGUUGUGUUGUUCGUCGUCUUGUGCGACGUUUUUGUUGUCCCGUCUUGUUGCGGUGUUCAUUUGAUUUCUAUUGAAAAGAUCGGCUUCAGUCAAUUACAGAUUCAACCAAUGAUUUGGGCUUCAACGCUGCAGAUCCGGAGGCAUGGAUACUUCGGUGACUUUAACUUUAUCAUAUUAUUUGUUGUAGGCAUUUUGCCGUUGUAUGCUAUUAACUCGGAUGCUGUGAGUUUUGUUCGCAGAUUCAUCCUUUAUGUUUUUAGCGAUGUUGAUUUUGUGAUUGUAUUUGAUGUAAUCUAUCAAUUUGAAUGAAUGAAUAU
rnacentral:lncRNA from 1 species